UACGUAGGGGGCAAGCGUUGUCCGGAAUCAUUGGGCGUAAAGAGCGUGUAGGCGGUCCGGUAAGUCGGCUGUGAAAGUCCAGGGCUCAACCCUGGGAUGCCGGUCGAUACUGCCGGACUAGAGUUCGGAAGAGGCGAGUGGAAUUCCCGGUGUAGCGGUGAAAUGCGCAGAUAUCGGGAGGAACACCUAUGGCGAAGGCAGCUCGCUGGGACGUUACUGACGCUGAGGCGCGAAAGUGUGGGGAGCGAACAGG
rnacentral:rRNA from 1 species